AACCCAUGUUGUGGGCACUUCCGUAAGAGAUUCUUGAAUCAUUCCCAAGUCUCAAACAAAUAUUUACGCUCCAUCUGAACAAAUGAAGAUAUCUCAUUACGAAGCUU